CCUGAUAGCUCAGUUGGUAAAGUAUCUGCCUGCAAUGCAGGAAACCCUGGUUUGAUCCCUGGAUCAGGA
rnacentral:tRNA from 1 species